rnacentral:rRNA from 1 species
GAUGAACGCUGGCGGCGUGCCUAAUACAUGCAAGUCGAGCGAACAGAUAAGGAGCUUGCUCCUUUGACGUUAGCGGCGGACGGGUGAGUAACACGUGGAUAACCUACCUAUAAGACUGGGAUAACUUCGGGAAACCGGAGCUAAUACCGGAUAAGAUUUUGAACCGCAUGGUUCAAUAGUGAAAGACGGCCUUGCUGUCACUUAUAGAUGGAUCCGCGCCGUAUUAGCUAGUUGGUAAGGUAACGGCUUACCAAGGCAACGAUACGUAGCCGACCUGAGAGGGUGAUCGGCCACACUGGAACUGAGACACGGUCCAGACUCCUACGGGAGGCAGCAGUAGGGAAUCUUCCGCAAUGGGCGAAAGCCUGACGGAGCAACGCCGCGUGAGUGAUGAAGGUCUUCGGAUCGUAAAACUCUGUUAUCAGGGAAGAACAAACGUGUAAGUAACUGUGCACGUCUUGACGGUACCUGACCAGAAAGCCACGGCUAACUACGUGCCAGC